UUUUAAAUAAGUAAGAGUUUUU
rnacentral:rRNA from 1 species